rnacentral:rRNA from 1 species
GUACUGACGCUCAUGCACGAAGCGUGGGGAGCAAACAGGAUUAGAUACCUGGUAGCCACGCCCUAAACGAUGUCAACUGGUUGUUGGUCUUCACUGACUCAGUAACGAAGCUAACGCGUGAAGUUGACCGCUGGGGAGUACGGCCGCAAGGUUGCAACUCAAAGGAAUUGACGGGGACCCGCACAAGCGGUGGAUGAUGUGGUUUAAUUCGAUGCAACGCGAAAAACCUUACCCACCUUUGACAUGUACGGAAUCCUUUAGAGAUAGAGGAGUGCUCGAAAGAGAACCGUAACACAGGUGCUGCAUGGCUGUCGUCAGCUCGUGUCGUGAGAUGUUGGGUUAAGUCCCGCAACGAGCGCAACCCUUGUCAUUAGUUGCUACAUUUAGUUGGGCACUCUAAUGAGACUGCCGGUGACAAACCGGAGGAAGGUGGGGAUGACGUCAAGUCCUCAUGGCCCUUAUAGGUGGGGCUACACACGUCAUACAAUGGAUGGUACAAAGGGUCGCCAACCCGCGAGGGGGAGCCAAUCCCAUAAAGCCAUUCGUAGUCCGGAUCGCAGUCUGCAACUCGACUGCGUGAAGUCGGAAUCGCUAGUAAUCGUGGAUCAGAAUGUCACGGUGAAUACGUUCCCGGGUCUUGUACACACCGCCCGUCACACCAUGGGAGCGGGUUCUGCCAGAAGUAGUUAGCCUAACCGCAAGGAGGGCGAUUACCACGGCAGGGUUCGUGACUGGGGUGAAGUCGUAACAAGGUAACC